rnacentral:lncRNA from 1 species
UUUUUUUUUCUUUGUCGCGCUUAAGUUUUUUAAGAGAAGGCAUCAACGUAUUUAUCUUGUUUAAGUUUAAAUGUCCCAAAUUGUAACAUAAGUGGGUCUUUGUAUAAUUAUUUACAAAAAUGGGUUGUUUUUUGAAUUUUUAAGAAUUAAAUCGUGUCAAAUUUGAACAACAACGAAAGUUGGUGUAUUAAAAUGUAAAAUCCUAACUUCGCGUCAAAUAUGGAUUUUUGACAAAGUUUGUGUAUUUAGGUGCAAUUUUCCCUAAUUAUUACCUUCUCUCUCCUACUUUAUCACCUUUAUUAUAUUCUAUCUCGUACUUUAUCACUUUUAUUACCUUCUCUCUCCUACUUUAUCAAUUUUAUACUUUAUUAAUUACACACUUAAAACACUAAUCUACAACUCCUUAAUUCCCGUGCCGAACCCAAACGUGUCAAGACUCGCGGGACGGAGGGAGUAUUUUAGUUCUUGCCUAGAUAAUUUUACUUGCUUUAUUUCUUGCCUAGAUAAUUUACAUGCUUUAUUUUAAUUACGCGCUAAAUAAAAAGAGAGAGAGAGAGAGAGAGUCAGCCCCUAAAAUCUUGAUUAGAGUGUUUAGGUUUAUUUUCUGUUAUCUGUGUGAAAUAUGAGAGAACACCCUGUUUAGCCUUCCUUGAGAGACGACUUGGGUUAGCUUAUUCCACUGCAAUUGUCCUCGUACGAUUGCGAGUCAAUUCAUAGGUGUUUUGAGUUGAGUCAGAGUAUCAGGUACCCAAUACCCGGUAAACUCGGGCUGAUGGUUGGGAUCAGGUAUGGCAUUGGUCAAUUUUGCAGGUAUUGUGUAUACUUGAAUACUCGGCUAAUCGAUUAUUUUUUUAAUUUAAUAGUUUUUAUACACAAUGAAACACAUUACUAAGUACCGUGAAAUUAGACAAAACUUGAAGCAAAACCCUACGUUUGAACACUGCCUCUAGUCGUGGCUCUUACCCCAGCGACCUUGCCAUGACAUCUGCCUGCCCCCGACCUCCGCCUGUAGCCGCCAAUGGUUAUUUCCUUUGCCUUGGUCGCCCAAUUGCUUGUUUCUCUUUUGCGGCUGGUAAUGUUAAUAGGAUAAUUUGUAUCCAAAGUGAUAUUCAAACUACCCAUCUCUAGAACAUUCAAGAACUUGGAUGCUUAAGAGUCUCAUUGGGAUACAUGAAUCAAAGUUAAUGAUAGAUGCAUUAAUUGUAAUCAAGAGUCUCUUUAGUCAUCAGUGUGUAAUCCUAUAAAUAGUCGUUAUGUUCUACCAUUUGAUUUAUUAGACUGAACAAGUUUCAUCUAUUCAAGAGAGUUCAUAAUAUUUCCUCCAAAUUAUAUUUGAUCUUGUUUCACUUAUAAUAACAAACCCAAUAGGUAAUUUAUUCUUCCUUAAAGGCUUUAAAUUGUCAAGGCUUUCAAUUGAUUCCCCUGUCACAAUCCACGACGACGACGAGACUAGCAGCGACAACAAUAGCACCCCAUUUGGCUAAUUGGCUUCGUUAAUAUUUGAAAUAAUUUUUUUUCUUGUGCAAGGGUAGACUUUUGCUAAACUAAUUAUGUUGGGUCCAUGUGGGGUACUGAACUGGUGUACGGGGGGGAUACACCAGCUGGCUUUUUCGUUGAAAACUGAAACUGAAACUGAUGUGAAGUGAGUGAGAGAUCAGUUUAAGAAACGGGUUCAAGGCUGAGACUGAUAAUGAGUCAGUCAGUUAACUUCAGUGUGAGGAACUGGUCGACAAACAGAAGUUUAGUUUAGGGUUCAGCCUUUUCAAUUUUGAAAUCGGAGAAGUAUUAGAAAUCUUAUUGACUGUCCUAAGACUUGUCAGUUAGACUGAUAACAUUUAGGCGGAAGCGAUUUGAAAUAGCCUUUAGUGACACAUAGUAUCAGUUUUAGGGUUUAUCCUUUAGAUUAUCAAUCUUCAGUGUAAGUCAGAAUGAGUACGCAGAUAAGAAUUGAAAAACUGAAAGCAAUAAAGAACACAAGGAUUUUUACGUGGUUCGGAAUACUGAUUCCUACGUCCACGGUCAGUAGAUCACACUGACAAUCGAUUAGGCUCGUGCUUACGGGUGCACAGCAAACCUUACAACUGAAAAAUCUUUUCAGUGCCAACACGUUGGGUUGGACUUCUCUUCCUUAGCUUACUGGUGCUAAGUAAACCACACGUCUAGCUUGCGGGUGCUAAACAACCUAGUGUUCAGACAACUGUCUCGAACACUCUCUCAAACACUCUUUUCUCACUCUUGAAAAGGAGUUCGAAUUCCAACUAGGAUUACUGAAAACAGGUUCUCAGUAAUCAGUUUCUAGGCUAAUGAUUUGAAUGUAUAUGCCUAAGAAAACUAAGAGAAUGUAUGUUAUCAGUUAGACUGAUAGUUACUGCAAUGGGUAUUCUCUUCUUCGGUUCAAACUUGAUUGCAGUGAGUUAGCUGGCUCUUGAGUUCGACAGAGUUUCAGCUUUGUGCGUUGAAUCCGUGAAGAAUGAUGUUGAUCCUUGAGCUCUAUUUAUAGGCAGCGUCUUGAGAGAGAUCCGUUGGAGGAGGUAUGCCUUCAAUUUUCUGUUGUUGUGACUCAGAUUUAAAUUUGGGCUAAGGUCCUCAGUCUUCAUCCUCUCUAAACUGAAAGAAGUACCGUCCUUUCUUUCGCAGGAGAGGGUGCUGCAGAAUAAAGCAGCAUGAAAAGAGAAACUUCGUAUUCUGAAGGCCGAUUAUACAGAUCUUCGAAUUAAAUGCAGUUGUACUUGCAUGCUUUCCACGUGGCUUCAUUUGAAAUGAAUGAGACAACCUUAAACUGAAGAAUCGGUUUGGGACAGAGAAUCAGUCCGAGGUUUCAAUUGAUACUUUACUUCAGUAUCAGUCUCCGCUUUAUCCAACAUGGCAUGUAUCAGUGUUUUCCUAACACUGAUACUUCAAUAUACGCGUCCUUCAGUAUGAGUCAGCAGUCUUGAGUCUCUUGGUCUUCAGUUUUGACUGGAACUUCAGUCUUCGGAACUUCAGUCUUCGAAACUGAAUGCUUCGGCUCUUCAGUCUUCAGACUUCAGCUAGCUAAAACAUGGACUCUAACACUUGAGUCCAGAAUUACUCUAGUCUAGUGAAAGAUAAACUAAGUGUUUUGAAAUCAUCAAAACAAAGAUAUGAUAUUUCUAUUAAUUUCCCAACAAAUUAUGAAAUUAACUAUUUAAUAUAUUUAAAUUAGUACAUAUUGGAUUUGGUAAAUUUAGUUUUGCUACUUUUGCACUUUUGCAUAAUCUAGUGGGUUACUGCCACUUAAUUAAAUUACAAAAUCAAAACCACAAAAUGUAUAGCGUAUUGACAUCUUGGUGAAAUAAUAUUUCCUAUUUUGCGGGUAUCCAAAUACCCGCAUCGCGUAUUAGGGUACCCGACAAAGUAUGUCGGAUCGGAUGCGAAUAGGCGAAAUAUGGUAUUUUUGGGAUUGGGUACCCACAAAAUUUAGGUAUGAUACCUGACCCGAUUAGAUACCCCUAAUCCCUUCAUCCAUCGGCCAUCAACAUCCACUCUUUACAUUUCUUUCUUUGUACAAUAAGGGUCGGUCGUGGCAUGGCUAGCAAAGGCAAUAAUCUAGGGCCCAUCAUUUUAUGGGUCUUUUUUUUACGUAAGUUUGGGGCGGGGAGGGGUUUUAUUGAGAAAUUAAAUAUUUUGUGAAAUUUAGAAUCGGAGAACAAAUCAAUUAUUUUGAUGAACAAGCAUUUUGGUUUAGGGUUCGAAUCCUGAAGUGACAAGAUUUUCAACAUAUUGUCUGUUCAUCAAAAUAGUUGACUUGUUCAUUAAAAUUAUUGAUAUGUUCAAUGUUUUGCAAUUUCGCAAAAUAUUUAAUUUCUCAAUGGAACCUCUCUCUCUCUCUCUCUCUAUCUCUAUAUAUAUAUAUAUAUAUAUAUAUAUAUAUGUGUGUGUGUGUGUGUGUGUGUGUGUUUUAUUUGGGGGCUAAAAAUUGUACCCACUUAAAUAAAACAAAAAAUUAUGAGUUGGUCUUGCAUGCAGUUAAUCGCAUGGUACGCGGCGCAUCAACAUAUAUAUUAUAAAUUUUGGUAAACAAAAUUAAAACUAUAGUGUGGUNNNNNNNNNNNNNNNNNNNNNNNNNNNNNNNNNNNNNNNNNNNNNNNNNNNNNNNNNNNNNNNNNNNNNNNNNNNNNNNNNNNNNNNNNNNNNNNNNNNNNNNNNNNNNNNNNNNNNNNNNNNNNNNNNNNNNNNNNNNNNNNNNNNNNNNNNNNNNNNNNNNNNNNNNNNNNNNNNNNNNNNNNNNNNNNNNNNNNNNNNGGGCCUAUUUCGCGAAUAGGUUCGCGAAUAGUCUUGCAAAUAGGAUCACGAAUAUGUUCGCGAAUAGGCUCGCAAAUAUGUUCGUUAAAUAAUAUUUUUAUAUAUUUCAUUAUUAAAUAUUUUCAUAAUAAUAAAAAUAAUUCUCAUAAUUAAAAAAAAAUUACAACUAACUUGACAAAUUAUCUAUUUGUCAAAAAUAAAUUAUAAAUUAUGACUCAUAAAUAGUUUAGAAAUAUGUGGACUAUAAUUUUUUAUUUUAAUGAAACCUUAAUAUAUAAAUAAUUCGAACCAAGCUCGAGUUCGAGCUUGAAUAUGAAAUCGAGCUCGAGAUAAACGAAUAAUUAACGAGCCGAAUUCGAAUCAAACUCGAGCUUAGUAUUAUAUAGGCGGGCCGAGCUCAAGCUCAUUUUAAAGCUCGAAUUCAAGCUCGAGCCGAGCCGAGCCAAAUUUUCACGAAUCGAGCCCGAGCCCGAGCCUGGAGAUAUUCGGCUCGGCUCGGCUCGAUUCGUAUAAAACCCUAUCCUCAAAGGCAGGGGUUUGAAACCCACUGCUGGCGUUUUUUUUCUCCCUUUUUCCUCUUUUUUUUGCUUGCAUUUUCUUUCUCCUUUUUUUCCUCCCCCCCCCCCUCUCUUUUCCUCUUUUUUUGCCUGCGUUUUUUCCCCUUUUUUCUCUUUUUUUUCCUUAUUUUUUACAAUAUUUUUUUUCUUUCUUUCUGUUUUAGUUUUUUUUUGUCUUUUUUUUUCUUUUUAGCUCUUUUAUUUUCUUUUAUUUAUCUGUUUAAUUUUUUAUUUUCAUCACUUUUUAAAUUUUUUUUUCUAGUUUUUUCAUCUAUUUUUUUAGAUUACUUUUGUAUACAUCAAAGUAUACUUAUGCUAAUAUACGUAUUUACCUUCAUUCAAUACAAAAUUAUAUUUUCUAAACCCUGAAAACUAAACCCUAGAUCCUAAACACUAAAUGUUGAACCCUUAUAGGAAUAUUUACUUUUAAUAAACAUAAGAUAUACAUUUAUUCUUAUGAAUAAAAAUACAAUUAUCGUGAACAAAUGUAAUAAUUU